UACGGAGGGUGCGAGCGUUAAUCGGAAUUACUGGGCGUAAAGCGUGCGUAGGCGGUUUGAUAAGUCGGGUGUGAAAGCCCCGGGCUUAACCUGGGAAUUGCAUUCGAUACUAUCUGACUCGAGUCUGGGAGAGGGAAGCGGAAUUCCGGGUGUAGCGGUGAAAUGCGUAGAUAUCCGGAGGAACACCGACGGCGCAGGCAGCGUCCUGGCCGCUUGCUGACACUGAGGCUCGAAAGCUGGGAGAGCAAACAGG
rnacentral:rRNA from 1 species